UAUUAUAAUUAUUGUCUGCAGGAAAAAAUGGUGAUCUUUCUCAGAAGUUUUGGAGCACAAAGGACCCAGGGCAGAAGCCAUUCAUUCAGCUUUACAAUUGGCCAAGGAUCCAUUAUUAAAGGUACACAUUUAGCACAAAGGCCCCAGGGCAGAAGCCAUUCAUUCGGCUUUACAAUUGGCCAAGGAUCCAUUAUUAAAGAAAAUCUGAACAGGAAUUUCAAUGCUGAGGCUUCAGAGGAAGAGCAGAGAGAAGGAGCAUAAAAACAGAGCAGAGCAGAGCAGAGAUAAAACAGGGGAUGAUGAGUAAAAGAGAAGAAUCCCACAUGGGAUUGGCUUGAAAUUAUCUUCGAUUGUCGGCUUUUUGCGGAGUUUCAAGGCCUCUUUAACAGGCUGUGAAGUCAUGGGGAAUGAGAGUGUUGAACAUAUGAUGAUAAUGGCUGCUAGAUGGGAGAUUAUCACCAAACAUUGAGAGAACGGUCAAGGAUUGGGCUUCUGCAAAAAAUGGGACAUACGCUCACAGCUUUCGCGAGACUAUACACAGGACUACUGAUUUAGGUUUCUCUCUGACUCGGUCUCCUUCGCAGUCUUUCACUCUGUCUCCCUUUCACUCUCUCAGCCUGUCUUUUCCCUUUUUCUGGUUGUUGAUAUGGAUCUGAGGGGAUCGUGAUUUUUGAAACUCAAAGCUGCCGAUGGAUUUAAACCAGAUCUUCAAAAGAUUUAAAUCUGAGAAAUUUGUGAUGUCUAUUCUUUCAUGUUUGCCACUUCGCUGACUAUGUUGGGGAUCAAGCUGCUCGGUCGAGCGGAGAUCGCGGAUCAGUUUUCUAUAAAUAUGUGAUUUCAUCUGUUUUUAGGGUUACGGCUUCCAGAUCUUCUCCUUGGAUAUUAGGAUAUAUAUCUGGAGCUUCUUUGCUAGUUUUUUUUUUAUGUUUGUUUGAGUUUAAUUCAUGGUUUGAGAAGUAUACAUCAAAGGAUUGUUUGUUUCAUUCAAUACAAAAGAGAGAAUUGUUCUUCGGUGAGUUUCGGGGAAUUUGGGACUGAAGCAUUGGUGGAUUCUGGAGUGGCUCAUCAUUGUAGAUUUGACAUCGACGUUGUGGAUUCAACGUUGGGCAAAAUAAUUCCGAAGUGAAGAUGGGGUUGGAAGAGGCACAUUGGGAUCGGUUCGAUUCGAGCGUCGAUUCGCUAGGUAAUUGAGAGUACACUUGUGUAAUUCUUUUAUGUCUUCUUAGUGGAUUAUUUUGUUGCUUUUGCCCGUGAUUUUUUUUAUCACAAUUGGAGGUGUUUCAAUUGUGGUUUUACUACGUUAAAAUCGUUAUGUCGAUUUGUCUUGAUUAUU